rnacentral:rRNA from 1 species
GACAGAGGGUGCAAACGUUGUUCGGAAUUACGUGGCGUAAAGCGCGUGUAGGCGGUGCGGUAAGUCGGGUGUGAAAGCCCUGGGCUCAACCCAGGAAGUGCAUUCGAUACUACCGUACUAGAGUCCCGGAGAGGUUCGGUGGAACUCUCGGUGUAGAGGUGAAAUUCGUAAGAUAUCGAGAAGAACACCGGUGGCGAAGGCGGCCAACUGGACGGUGACUGACGCUGAGACGCGAAAGCGUGGGGAGCAAACAGGAUUGAAGAACCCCUGGUAGUCCAA